GAGUCUGUCUCUGUUCGGCGUAUGCGCGGACGAAGCGUCUGGAGUGUAUCCUUCUCGCUUUAACUCGGUCGUAUUCGGUGUUGGUCGGUCUAACUCGACGUUACUCGGGUAGAAUCGGUCGGUCUCGGUCGGUUCCUCUUUACACGCGACUCGCUUCGGCAGCUCCCUCUCUCUUUCUCUCUCUCUUUCAGUCUGUCGUUAAUGCAGGCAGGCGCAUGCGCGAGUUCGGUCUCGAUGCUAACCCCACUACGAUCGGUACGUCCCUGUCCUCUCGCGACCCCACCUACCCGCGACACGAAAACUCUAACCCCCCCGACCCUCCCUAGCUGGUAUACCCCUUUCCCCGAACGUCUCCCUGAUUCCGCCUUGCCUGCCUGCCAGCCUGUGCCGUCCGUCCUUACGUCCGUCCGUCCGCCGUUUGGAUCUAUGCUUGUGUCGGUGGAUUUCGUGACGUUAACCUGGCGGCCCUGAAAACGUCGUCGUUCGGACCGACCGUGCGUUUUCGACUGCCCUUACGACGUGUGCCCGUCGGUGAUACGCGCGAUUUUCGUCCACUUAACCUACCUAGACAACACAAAAGUUUUCUUCUACCCCCGACGUGUGUUACAUAUUCGAACGAGACUGUUAGUAGUGUUUUCCUCUCAACAAUGAAAACUCGACAAUGAGUCGAUUGAAAUCCGUCGUGUUUAUGUGAAAUCACCGAAACUGCUGCUACUGCUAUUGCUAUUGCUACUGCUACUGUACUGUUACCGUUAUUACUAUUACUGCUGCUACUACUGCUGCUGCUGCUGCUGCUGCUGCUAAAUUUUGAAGUUACCGACCGAGGAGGUGAAAAGAGGAAGAGGAAGGAAAGAAGGAGUGUGUUCUUACUGUUUUCGUGUGACAGAAAAAGAGAAAAAGAGAGAGAAAGAAAGAAACAAUAUAUCUUCGAUCGUUACCCUCUUAGCUAAGCUAGCUAGCUAGCUAGAAGGUUGCUAAGCUAGGUAGCUAGCUGCUAGGUACCACCUAAACGCCUAUUUGCUUGGUCAUUCUUGGAAAAAGGAGGUCGAAAACUUGACUGUUUUUCUUUUCUCCCCAUUUUUUUCUUCUCCUUUUUUUCUUUUCUCCCCAUGGAAGAUGAAUCCUGAAGGAAGAUGUAGGCCCUAAAGAAAAGGCCAGAGAUCACAUCGACGUCGCCAUUCGUCGGGAUCGACGAGACACAAACAACAUCGAGGUAGUUAACCUAAAGUGAGUGAGAGAGGAAAAAAGAAAGAAAGAAGAUACCUUGAAGAACAAGAAAGAGAGAGAGAGAGAGAAAGAGAAAGAGAUAGAGAUAGAAGGUAAAGAAGAAACGACAUCGUCUUCGUCGUCGUAACGGUUAGAAGAGAUCGCCGUGGUGUUCCUCUCCUUCUUCUUCUUCAUGGCCGUUGCGACGAGGAGCUUUCGGAGGAGUGCGUUUGAGAAGCCCCGAAAUAGAGAGGUCUAUUAAUAGUUCGCGAUAUCUUCUUCUUCUCUUCUUCUUCUUCUUCGUCGUCUUCUCCUUCUUCUUCUUCUUCUGGAUGCGUCUCGUGUGAACUUGAAGAAAUACUGGAACGCAGUGUGUGGUCUUCUAUAGGAACAAAUAUCCGUCUAAUCGAAGGAGACGUGGCUGCUCGAAGACCACGAUGGAAGGAUUUUGAAGGAAGACGGAAAUAAAACAAAACAAAACAAAACAAAAAAAUGAAGACACUCUCUCUCUCUUUUAUGAAAUUGAAGAUUAGACGAAGCUCGGAAGAUGGUUGUGUUGGAUUGUUUAGAAAAAAAAGGAGAACGUGAUUCUUGUUGUUGUAAAACAUUUACGAUUACCGAUCGAGCGAUAUUUUGAGUUGGAAGGAAAAAAAAAAAGAGGGGUUGGAGGGAUAUUAUUCUGUGGAAAUUCUCUUUCGAGUUUAAAUUUAAAAGGUUGAUCGUUGCCACGUCAAAUGCCUGCAGACGAUGAUGGAUCAUACGCAGGACACUUUGAGAAACGGGCGGUGGUGGAGAUGAAAGUGGACUAUCGCGAAGAGAAUAUUCGCGAUAACGAACAAACAACUUUGGUAUCGAUCGAUGAUUCUCCUAUGAAAACAUUGGAGGAGGUGGUGAUACCGGUGGAAGAACGACAGCACACAAGGAAUACUAGAAGAGGGAGAUAGAACGAUGUUACGAGUAAUAGAAAUAGUAAUAUUAGUGUCGACGAUGAUGACGAUGACAAUGGUCAUUAAUACGUGACACACAGUGCCGGUUCUCGCGUGUGGGUGUACCCGCGGGUUAACGUGUGCAACCGUGAUCAGUGAGGAGAGUAUAGAUAUAUAUAUAUAUAAAUAUAUAUAUAUA